GACGAACGCUGGUGGCGUGCUUAACACAUGCAAGUCGAACGGAAAGGCCCUGCUUUUGUGGGUGCUCGAGUGGCGAACGGGUGAGUAACACGUGAGUAACCUGCCCUUGACUUUGGGAUAACUUCAGGAAACUGGGGCUAAUACCGGAUAGGAGCUCCUGCUGCAUGGUGGGGGUUGGAAAGUUUCGGCGGUUGGGGAUGGACUCGCGGCUUAUCAGCUUGUUGGUGGGGUAGUGGCUUACCAAGGCUUUGACGGGUAGCCGGCCUGAGAGGGUGACCGGCCACAUUGGGACUGAGAUACGGCCCAGACUCCUACGGGAGGCAGCAGUGGGGAAUAUUGCACAAUGGGCGGAAGCCUGAUGCAGCAACGCCGCGUGCGGGAUGACGGCCUUCGGGUUGUAAACCGCUUUCGCCUGUGACGAAGCGUGAGUGACGGUAAUGGGUAAAGAAGCACCGGCUAACUACGUG
rnacentral:rRNA from 1 species